GGGGGGGGGGUUCGUGUGGAUUAGUCAUUAUUUUUCUAUGCUGUACUUUGUGUACUACUGUUCGUCUUUUUCUUUUUUAGCCAUAUUGUUGUUCUUUUAUUUUCAAUACAUUUAAGGAAUGACUGUAAUAUUUUUUCUGUCUAUGAAGAAAUAACAUAAAAAAUUUGGUGCACACUGAAUAACGCGCGUAGCGGGUUAUUUAACAGUGUGCACAACAUUUUUUUUGUUAUUUCGAAUAGACAGAAAAAAUAUUACAGUCAUUUCUUAAUUUAAUUCUAAAUUUCAUUUUAAACCGUAGAAAACCAUGAAAAAACGUUGAUGACAUCACGGUCACAUGACUAAAUUAUGUCUAUGGGCUCAUAACAAAAUAACGUCAGCCAAUCAGAAGACGCGUUACAUCCAAAAUUAAAUUAUAAGUUUGAAUGUCUCUCUAGUAUCUUUUGUCCCUUUUUAAAGACAGGAUGAAAAUGUAAAAUUGUUCAGAUUAACAGGUAUUAUGAUGAUCUGUGGUUGCUUAUAUCUACAUUUUU
rnacentral:lncRNA from 1 species